CUUUAUGAAAUAUUGGGGAGGGGGCUCUUGCCGAAGGCACGGAAAAUUUUUAAAUUUGAAUCCCGGAAAUGGCAUUUGCAGCAUUCUGAGAGACGCAUAAUCAGAAAACCCAGAAUUCCGGGCGCCAGAGUAUGCCUGUUCGCAGGUAGUGCUGCGAAUAAUAUAGUUAACAACAAAAAUCAUGACCAAAGACACCAAAAACGGAUCAAAAUUGUAUUUUAAAAUACUUAAAACGUAG